rnacentral:rRNA from 1 species
ACGAACGCUGGCGGCGUGCCUAAUACAUGCAAGUCGAACGCUUCUUUUUCCAUCGGAGCUUGCUCCACCGGAAAAAGAGGAGUGGCGAACGGGUGAGUAACACGUGGGUAACCUGCCCAUCAGAAGGGGAUAACACUUGGAAACAGGUGCUAAUACCGUAUAACAAUCGAAACCGCAUGGUUUUGAUUUGAAAGGCGCUUUCGGGUGUCGCUGAUGGAUGGACCCGCGGUGCAUUAGCUAGUUGGUGAGGUAACGGCUCACCAAGGCGACGAUGCAUAGCCGACCUGAGAGGGUGAUCGGCCACAUUGGGACUGAGACACGGCCCAAACUCCUACGGGAGGCAGCAGUAGGGAAUCUUCGGCAAUGGACGAAAGUCUGACCGAGCAACGCCGCGUGAGUGAAGAAGGUUUUCGGAUCGUAAAACUCUGUUGUUAGAGAAGAACAAGGAUGAGAGUAACUGUUCAUCCCUUGACGGUAUCUAACCAGAAAGCCACGGCUAACUACGUGCCAGCAGCCGCGGUAAUACGUAGGUGGCAAGCGUUGUCCGGAUUUAUUGGGCGUAAAGCGAGCGCAGGCGGUUUCUUAAGUCUGAUGUGAAAGCCCCCGGCUCAACCGGGGAGGGUCAUUGGAAACUGGGAGACUUGAGUGCAGAAGAGGAGAGUGGAAUUCCAGGUGUAGCGGUGAAAUGCGUAGAUAUAUGGAGGAACACCAGUGGCGAAGGCGGCUCUCUGGUCUGUAACUGACGCUGAGGCUCGAAAGCGUGGGGAGCAAACAGGAUUAGAUACCCUGGUAGUCCACGCCGUAAACGAUGAGUGCUAAGUGUUGGAGGGUUUCCGCCCUUCAGUGCUGCAGCUAACGCAUUAAGCACUCCGCCUGGGGAGUACGACCGCAAGGUUGAAACUCAAAGGAAUUGACGGGGGCCCGCACAAGCGGUGGAGCAUGUGGUUUAAUUCGAAGCAACGCGAAGAACCUUACCAGGUCUUGACAUCCUUUGACCACUCUAGAGAUAGAGCUUCCCCUUCGGGGGCAAAGUGACAGGUGGUGCAUGGUUGUCGUCAGCUCGUGUCGUGAGAUGUUGGGUUAAGUCCCGCAACGAGCGCAACCCCUAUCUUUAGUAGCCAGCGGUCAGGCCGGGCACUCUAGAGAGACUGCCAGGGAUAACCUGGAGGAAGGUGGGGAUGACGUCAAAUCAUCAUGCCCCUUAUGACCUGGGCUACACACGUGCUACAAUGGGAAGUACAACGAGUCGCAAAGUCGCGAGGCUAAGCUAAUCUCUUAAAGCUUCUCUCAGUUCGGAUUGUAGGCUGCAACUCGCCUACAUGAAGCCGGAAUCGCUAGUAAUCGCGGAUCAGCACGCCGCGGUGAAUACGUUCCCGGGCCUUGUACACACCGCCCGUCACACCACGAGAGUUUGUAACACCCGAAGUCGGUGAGGUAACCUUUUGGAGCCAGCCGCCUAAGGUGGGAUAGAUGAUUGGGGUG